ensembl:rRNA 5S_rRNA 5S ribosomal RNA
GCCAGCAGCUUGCUUUCUGCAACGCACACAUGGUCGCCCACUGAAGCUAAGCAGGGCUGUGCCCAGUCAGUACGUGGAUGGGAGACCACAUGGGAAAGCUAGAUUGCUGCCUGAA